rnacentral:rRNA from 1 species
GUGACCUCAAAUCAGGUAGGACUACCCGCUGAACUUAAGCAUAUCAAUAAGCGGAGGAAAAGAAACUAACAAGGAUUCCCCUAGUAACUGCGAGUGAAGCGGGAAAAGCUCAAAUUUAAAAUCUGGCAGUCUUUGGCUGUCCGAGUUGUAAUCUA